AUUACUGUGGCAGACUUAAAUGCAUAGAAUUUAAGCUUCUAGAAUGGGGAUUCCCCUGUAAUA
rnacentral:tRNA from 1 species